rnacentral:rRNA from 1 species
UACGGAAGGCAGCAGUGGGGAAUAUUGCACAAUGGGCGCAAGCCUGAUGCAGCCAUGCCGCGUGUAUGAAGAAGGCCUUCGGGUUGUAAAGUACUUUCAGUCGUGAGGAAGGUGUUAAGGUUAAUAACCUUAGCAAUUGACGUUAGCGACAGAAGAAGCACCGGCUAACUCCGUGCCAGCAGCCGCGGUAAUACGGAGGGUGCGAGCGUUAAUCGGAAUUACUGGGCGUAAAGGGCACGCAGGCGGUUAAUAAGUUGGAUGUGAAAUCCCCGGGCUUAACCUGGGAAUGGCAUUCAAGACUGGUUAGCUAGAGUCUUGUAGAGGGGGUAGGAAUUCCAUGUGUAGCGGUGAAAUGCGUAGAGAUGUGGAGGAAUACCGGUGGCGAAGGCGGCCCCUGGGACAAAGACUGACGCUCAUGUGCGAAAGCGUGGGGAGCAAACAGGAUUAGAUACC